GGGCUGCCGGGCCCACCGCCCCGCCUCCCCGCGCACCCACUACUUCAGCUCGGCGGUCCCGGGGGCUGAGGAAGCCGCCCGGAAGCCACCGGAAGCACACAUCGCAGACCCUUAACACAACCGGCUCCCGGAAGUGCUCCAGGCUCGCCUUAGGCGGCGGAGCGCGGGAGCUGCGCGGGGGGAGCUGUGCCGCGAUCUCGCGAGAUGGGGCGCGACUACGGAAACCGGAAGCACUGGGCUAAAGCAUUUCCUGAGCUGGAGGGCUGCCUACCGGCUCUGAGGCCCUGGAGAUACAAAGAUGAAAAAAACUUCUGAUUCUUCAGCAGUGCAUAGUCCAAUAGAGGAUUAGACAUAAGAUGAAAUGUGGCACAUAUCACAGAGAGAGUGAGAGAGAGAGAGAGAGGCAGAGACACAGGCAGAGGGAGAAGCAGGCUCCAUGCACCGGGAGCCCGACGUGGGAUUCGAUCCCGGGUCUCCAGGAUCGCACCCUGGGCCAAACCUCUGCGCCACCCAGGGAUCCCAUUGCUGAUAAUCCCAAUUCUGCAUCUGUGGACUUAGAAGUGGAAGAAAAGCAGAUUAUUUUUAUAGCUUUUAUCAGUUUUACAGUAUAAAAGAACUAAUAUCUUUGUUAUAAUGUGAAGAUUUAGAGGAGAAUAAGAUUUACCAUAGUAUAGUAUAAUUUCAUAGUAACAAAUACCAUUGCAUUGAUUAUCUCUGUAUAAUUAAAAUAUUUCCAAGCCUUUGCCAUUGUCUGUUACUUCUGGCCAAAUUAAGGAUAACUCAUUUCCUGAACUAUAUUACAAAAGAGUCUCUGUAAGACCCUUAGAAUUAGUGGCAUAAGAACUGAGUUAGUGAAAUUUUUUUUACCACUUACUGCAAAUUUAUUUUAUGGAAUAUUCUGAAUUAACAUAAUUCCCUUUCCCAGUAUUCAUGGAGAGAGAGUAGAAUUGUGCACAAGAAUUCUUAUGAUAGAUUGCAUUAAAAAUGAUUUUAAAAAUAUACUUUAUAUAAGAAAUACUGAAUGGAUUGAUACCAUUUUGCUGCUAAAAUUCUCUGGGCAGUCUCAGUAUUUUUAAACCUAUUUACCUAUUUGUCUUUUCAAACACUGACACCUUAAUUCUUCUCAGACCUCAUAUGUGAGACUUUUUGGCAUGCUUAUGUAUUUAGGUUGAAUACCGUCUCUCAGUUUUCCUAAAGCUACAAUAAGUAUUCAUUUCAGUUUCUCCUAAGAUUCAUGCUAGAUGCAUGUUCACCUAGGGCAUGUGACAUGCUUCUUCUCUAGGGCUAGCCUUACCACAUUAUGUCUCAAGUCUUAGAAGGAACCAUGAAAAUCUUCUUAGAUCUUCCUCACUUGAGCCUCUAUUUGCUGUCUUCAAGUGCAUUAUAUUUUAUUUUCCCCAAGUCAUGCAGUAA